rnacentral:tRNA from 1 species
AUUUUAGUGGUGUUAUUGACACAGUAAGUUGUAAACUUAAAGAUGCUGCUGUACGCCUAA